GCUAAGCCCUCGGGUUCUGUCUAAUACUCGACAGAAAAUAACUGCGCAGGGCUACACAGUGAGGAUUAUUUUUCUUGCUGUGUUUUCUUUUAUGAAAGAAAGCUGUUUUUCUGCUCGACUGAAAUUCCUCUCCUGCUUGGAAAUGGGUAAGAGGGCCAGCUGCUUGCUAUAUUUUUCUCUGUGGUAUUUUUCUACAGCAGAUUUUAAAAUUCAUUCUUCAGACUGGGAAAAGCCUCUCUUUGUACCCAACCUCACUCGUGAAAGUUUAAAGAUUCAUUUCUAACGCUCAAAUUCAAAAUAGCUUUGGGGACCAAAAUAUGUCAGCUUUAGAAACAUGUUGUUUUAUGUGCUGUCUCCAGUUUCAUUUUUAAUUACAUUUUUUAGAAGUUGUCAAGUAUGAGUAGUAAUAUUCCUUUGGCUGAACUGACAGUCAAAAUUUAUCAGUCCAGACGUGUAAACCAAAUCCCAGCACAAGAUUCUAAGCUUCUGAAAGAACAGACGCUCAAUAUGG
rnacentral:lncRNA from 1 species